rnacentral:rRNA from 1 species
UACGAAGUGGGCUAGCGUUGCUCGGAAUCACUGGGCGUAAAGGGUGCGUAGGCGGGUCUUUAAGUCAGGGGUGAAAUCCUGGAGCUCAACUCCAGAACUGCCUUUGAUACUGAAGAUCUUGAGUUCGGGAGAGGUGAGUGGAACUGCGAGUGUAGAGGUGAAAUUCGUAGAUAUUCGCAAGAACACCAGUGGCGAAGGCGGCUCACUGGCCCGAUACUGACGCUGAGGCACGAAAGCGUGGGGAGCAAACAGG